GGCGCAGCCCCGGCGCGUCAGCACGGCCCCGGGGCACAGGCAUCGAGUGGAAAAAAAAACUGCUCGCUGCAGAUCCUACAGCAAAACAAGAAGAACUUUUAAGGCCAAGCAAGAAGAAAAAAAAAAUCCCCUUUUGUCUCUAGACUGACGCAUUUUUACCACCGAAAGAAAUGGAGAGACACAAAGUUGGACUCUCCACAUUUCAAGAUCCCUUCUUGGAUGCACUGAAGAAAUCCUAUUUCAUCGAGGUCUCUUAUAUUAAAGAACUCUCAAUCAAAACUGGACUGUUCACAUGAAGAAGGAAACUGUCUUGCAGUAUUUCAUCAGGAUCUAUUGUUUACCAAAUCACGUGAUCAUCUGGUGGCUUAAUAUUCAGAACCGGAACCAAAAAUAGAGAAUAGUUCAAAGCAGCGAUAUAGAAUUACUGCAAGUAUUUAUCCUGUAGUAAAAAUGCAUGCAGGAUGCAAGCAAAUCUACUUCUCUGAUGCAAAGUAACUACAGACUUUGCAGACACACAUGAAAUACAUUUCCAUUAAUAAUUUAGUGUUCAGUCUUUAGAGAUGAUUUUUAAUUUCAACGUAUGCACAGAUUUCUUGCUAAGAGAAAAAAAAGAUAUUAACUUCCACAAAACAGAUAAAAAGCCAAUUGCCGUGACUGAACUAUGCAGGAGUCAAUCAGUGAAUAAAUCUGGAAGGAAAACCUCAUUACAGUACUGUGAAAACAUUCUUUAGAUUAUUGCAAAUUAAUACACAAUGUAGAGGGUUUGGUGAUCAUUGCCUCAAGCAACUUUCCUGUCGACUUUCUUAAAAAAAAACAGAAGUGGUUCUGAGAUACUUACGGAAGGAAGUAUACCACCAGUUUUCUUUCAGGCCAUGCAGAUUUUCUGGCUGUUUUGAAUAGUUAUAUUUAGAAUGCUUCUUUGUGCUUAUACUUCUUUUUCUUUUAAGCACCAAUACAAUGUUCUUAAUGUUAUCAACUAAAACUAGGAAUAUGUUCACUCCAUUCCAAAUCUAUUGGGAGUUACGACGCUAAGCAAUUCCAUGAUGUCUUGACAUGUUUUAUGACUGUUGAGAAGAUACGUGUAGAAUGUACCCCUAGUGUAUGUUACUGGAUUUCUGCAGCAUAGUUCAAUAAAAAUAAUCAUAAUGCAGCAUCAAGUCUGAUGAACGUUCAUUGAGACCGCUCAAAUGUAGAAAGAUAGUCAAAGAAAAAAAAUCUGGCAAGGUCCAGCAACAGAAGAUUUCAUUUGGAAUGAACCAGUCUCCUUCUUUCAGAAUACUUGACUUACACACUAAUCAAUUUGCAUGAAAUAAGGGACACGAAUGCCAUUGGCCAAUAAGUUAGCUGGAGAACUGAAAACAUAGAUCAAGCCAAUCAGAAGCACAAGAAUGGAUUUUGACUCAAUAGACUAAAAAAGUGUCCAUUGUUUAUAUAUAAUUACAGUAUAAACUUGUAAUUUUAAGUUGUUUUGAACUUGAAGGCAAUGAUGUACAUCACUCACAAGAGACACAGGUCAAGGCAACUGUUUUCUGGAUCAACAUAGGGUUCAGACAGAUUUUCAAAUGUUCCUAAAUACUUUCUUAUAAAAUCUGAAAUCAAAUAAUUAAAUAUUUAAAACAUUAUUUCAUGGGAAAUACAAAAAACACAGUUUGUAAACUUAUGGUUAUGAGAUACCAAUUAGAUCUGCUACAUUCAUAAAAUCAGUUUGUUUGGCUGAUGCCAGCACGUAAGUGCCAUUAUGUAGAAAGCAUGGUAGCACCUCUGCUUCCUUAGAAGUUUACAGAGAUUUCAGCAUGGCAUCUAAAACUCUGACAAACAUUAUAGAUAUGUGGCAUAUAUUGACUGGUUGCAUCACAUCCUGGUAUGGAAACACCAAUGCCCUUGAGCAGGGUAUCCCACAAAAAGUAGUGGAUACAGCCCAGUCCAUUUCCAGCCCACUAUUGAGCACAUUGAUAUGAGCACUCUCAAGGGUCCCCACCACCCAAUUCAUGUUCUGUUCUCACUGCUGUCAUCAGGAAGAAGGUUCAGGAGCCUCAGGAUCUACACCAUCAGGUUCAGUAACUGUUAUUACCCUUCAACCAUUAGGCUCUUGAACCAAAGGGGAUAACUUCACUCACCCCAUCAUUGAACUGUUCCCACAAACUAUGGACUCACUUUCAAGGACUCGUGAUCUCAAUAUUUAUUGCUUAUUUAUUACUUAUUUUUCUGUUUUGAAUUUACCUAGUUUGUUGUCCUUUGCACAUUGGUUGUUUGUCUGUCCAGUUGGGUGUGGUUUUUCAUUGAUUCUAUUGUGUUUCUUGGAUUUGCUGUGUAUGCCUGCAAGAAAUUGAUUCUCGCGGUUGUAAUAUAUAUGGUGACAUAUACAGUAUGCACUUUGAUAAUAAAUUUAUUUGAGCUUUGAUGCUAUUUAGCACAACUUCUG